UUUAAAAUUUCUGUUAAUUAAUAGUGAUUUGUGUACUUAUAACAAAAUUUUGUCUAUUUUAUUGUUUGGAUUGAUAGGAUUCAGUUUAAUGUAGAGACAUGAGAGUAACUUAAAAUUUAUAUAAAGAAAUAAAUUUUUAAUAUUUUUGAACGUAUCGAAAAACUUUAUUAAAUAAUAUAUGAGAGAAUGUAAUCUCUGCGGGGAUAAAAUAAAUUGAAAAAUAAAAUAAAAUAAGUGGGGUGCGGAAAGAUUUUGAGGGUGGAUUAUUUACUGGACAUAGAAGAGACUUGAAAGAGAAAUUGCAUGAAAGAGGAUGGUCCUGGGAUGACAUUCUCCUCGACAUAUAACAUAUGUGGAUGACCAAAAUAAUUUAUAUAUAUAUAUAUAUAUAAGAAUGAAGAGCCCAUACGAGAAAUCUGCACGUACAAAUGCGUGGGCGAAUAUACAUAUAUAUUUCCGCGCCGUUAUUCAUUUCUCAAUAUAUAUUUUCGAAGUCUUCUAUUUAUUAUUUCGGUCUUAAAAGUAAUAAAGAUGCAUUGAAUGAAGCGGUAAAUUGAAGAUGAAAAUGGCUUGGAAACGAAAUUUAAACUGUUUUAAUAUAAAAUGCGACCUCUUUUUUUCUACUUUAUUAUACCUAUUUAUAUGAAAUCAUGCAUAUAUAUAUUAUUACAUAUCUUCCCGACUAUUUUUGUUUUAAUUUAGAAUAUAUU